CAGAAACCAAGACAUCUAAUCCAUCAGAGCCUAAGAUUUCAGAGGAAGGAAGCAUAAAUUCCUCACAGUUAGCAUCACAAGUAGAAACAUAUUCACCAACAGGAAGUCCUGGAACACAGCCAGUGCAACAGCAGUGAAGUUAUUCUUUGCUACAAUACUGCUCCACUGGACUAAACAAGUAUAAAAAAUGGAUGACAGCAGGAGGACACCUGGCCAGCUGUUGUAUGGUGAGCUGAACUGAGGAGAUCUCAAAUAGGGCAGGCUGAAGGAACAUGCCACAGACACAUUGAAGAACAAUUUCAAGUAAUGGAAGCAUGGCUGCAGAAGACUGGGAAAUAAUAUCAGGAGGAAGACUGACCCAAUGUGGAGCAAUUGGAGCAGCAAAGGUGUGCAGCCAGGUGAAGCUGCAGCAUUUCAGCUUGCAACAGCUUUUGUAAAGAGCAGUCCCUCUCCCAAUCAAAGAGCCCCAUCCACCUGUAUUAUCUGAGUAAACAUGGCAGAUUUCUUACCA
rnacentral:lncRNA from 1 species